UUGCGGACGGGUGAGUAACGCGUAAAGAACUUGCCCUUUAGACUGGGAUAACAGAGGGAAACUUCUGAUAAUACUGGAUAAGUUAGUAUAUCGCAUGAUUUGCAAAUGAAAGCUACGGCACUAAAGGAGAGCUUUGCGUCCUAUUAGCUAGUUGGUAAGGUAAGAGCUUACCAAGGCGAUGAUAGGUAGCCGGCCUGAGAGGGUGGACGGCCACAAGGGGACUGAGAUACGGCCCUUACUCCUACGGGAGGCAGCAGCC
rnacentral:rRNA from 1 species